rnacentral:rRNA from 1 species
AACGAACGCUGGCGGCAGGCUUAACACAUGCAAGUCGAACGCCCCGCAAGGGGAGUGGCAGACGGGUGAGUAACGCGUGGGAAUCUACCCAGUUCUACGGAAUAACCAAGGGAAACUUGGACUAAUACCGUAUACGCCCUACGGGGGAAAGAUUUAUCGGAAUUGGAUGAGCCCGCGUAAGAUUAGCUAGUUGGUGGGGGAAUGGCCUACCACGGCGACGAUCUUUAGCUGGUCUGAGAGGAUGAUCAGCCACACUGGGACUGAGACACGGGCCAGACUCCUACGGGAGGCAGCAGUGGGGAAUAUUGGACAAUGGGCGCAAGCCUGAUCCAGCCAUGCCGCGUGAGUGAUGACGGCCUUAGGGUUGUAAAGCUCUUUUCUCCGGGACGAUAAUGACGGUACCGGAGGAAUAAGCCCCGGCUAACUUCGUGCCAGCCGCCGCCGUAAAAC